rnacentral:rRNA from 1 species
CACUGACAUUAGAUACCCGCGUAGUCCAGGGUGUAAACGCUGCAGACUUGGUGUUGGAAGCCCUUUGGGGGCAUUCAGUGCCGGAGAGAAGUUGUUAAGUCUGCUACUUGGGAGUACGUCCGCAAGGAUGAAACUUAAAGGAAUUGGCGGGGGAGCACCGCAACGGGAGGAGCGUGCGGUUUAAUUGGAUUCAACACCGUAAAACUCACCAGGGAAGACUGUUACAUGAAGGCCGAGAUGAAGACUCUGCUAGAUUUUCAG